GCCCUCCUGGUGCUUCCCACAGGUGGUGUUCUUACACUGAUUGUAGAGAAAGAGGAGGGAAAGUAAACUUAUCCCAUAUACACCUCAGCCCAGGCCCUGUGCCUGGUCUGUAUUAUGAGUGGGAAAACAUGG
rnacentral:snoRNA from 1 species